rnacentral:rRNA from 1 species
UGGGGAAUUUUGGACAAUGGGCGAAAGCCUGAUCCAGCAAUGCCGCGUGUGUGAAGAAGGCCUUCGGGUUGUAAAGCACUUUUGUCCGGAAAGAAAUCCUUGGCUCUAAUACAGUCGGGGGAUGACGGUACCGGAAGAAUAAGCACCGGCUAACUACGUGCCAGCAGCCGCGGUAAUACGUAGGGUGCAAGCGUUAAUCGGAAUUACUGGGCGUAAAGCGUGCGCAGGCGGUUUGCUAAGACCGAUGUGAAAUCCCCGGGCUCAACCUGGGAACUGCAUUGGUGACUGGCAGGCUAGAGUAUGGCAGAGGGGGGUAGAAUUCCACGUGUAGCAGUGAAAAUGCGUAGAGAUGUGGAGGAAUACCGAUGGCGAAGGCAGCCCCCUGGGCAAUACUGACGCUCAUGCACGAAAAGCGUGGGGGAGCAAAACAGGAUUAGAUACCCUGGUAGUCCACGCCCUAAAACGAUGUCAACUAGUUGUUGGGGAUUCAUUUCCUUAGUAACGUAGCUAACGCGUGAAGUUGACCCGCCUGGGGAGUACGGUCGCAAAGAUUAAAAACUUAAAUGAAUUGACGGGGUCAUAGCUGUUUCCU